GGGAGAGAGAGAGAGAGAGAGAGAGAGAGAGAGAGAGAAGCGGAGAGAGUUGUACAGAUGGACCCGAUGCAGUGACUGACUGGCACGCAGACACACACUUUUUGUUUGCUGCACAUAAUCUGCCCAAUGACGCGUGACAGCCCACGUCCCCUCCCCUUAACUCUUUGCUGGGCCAGGCGCUCCCUCCGGCGCCGCCUGCCUCGCAGCUUUUUCCCCUGGCCUGCCCGCGCCCCGCAGAUCCUGAGCGCCUACCCCGGGUGGCAACGCCUGUUAGAGAGCGUCCCGGCACGCCUCCUCCUAAAGCUUGGGCCCUCUGGGACUGCUAGGAGGGGAAAAUCGUUUCAGAAUUGGAAAGGAAGGUACCAAAAGGAUUGGUGAGGGCCUUUCCCUGUUUCACUAGGCACUUGGAGAAGCUAUGACAGAGAGCUAUACAUCCAGCGCGCGCGGACCCCGUGCGUAUUUUCCCGGGAGUCCGAGUUCCAUGAAAGGGAAAGGGGUGAGGUUAGCCCCAGGGAUUCUCUAGCUAGUUGCCUGGGGGUGAUAAACGGGAGCCGGCUCUUCAAGAGCGCCAAUACUACCAAGCCUCCUCCUGCAAAAUUCAGAAAGGAUGCGCUUUGGUGAGAACUUGUCUCAGCCUUCCCAUAACUCAGGAGAUGAGGUUGGAGUGAGAAUGCCACCAGACCCCGGAAGGGGACAUAAAGCUUUGAGACCCUUCUCUGGAACACAGUGGGGCACUGAGCAUUGAUAGCCUAGUGACUGCAGUCCCAGGAGGCCAGGGGAGGAUUUUGCUGAGGAGAAACGAGUCCUGGCUUACCCACCUCUAACCCUACUGCCAAAACACUACACCAGCAAAGACUUCAUUGUCAAGAGCAUGGCAAUUCAUGGUGAAAGGGAAAAAAAGAGCCCAUACACUGGAAGAUAAGAGGAUGGCAAUGGAGCAGACAGUGGCAGCUCCUUCCUAAGCUUAUUAAUUUCCCACAGAGAGGUCUCUGGAAGGGGCUGUGAGGGUUGAGAAAGGCAGAGAAUAGAUCUUCAAGGAGUACUGCAUUACCUAGCCUCACCAUUCAGAAUAAGGAACUUUUUAAGGGAUAAACUUGAUUGACUACUUGUACAUGAAGGAGAGACAGAAAUUAUGGGCUGGUCAAUUAGGAAAAACACCAGGCCUGUGCCAAAAAUGUUGUUCAGAGGUUGUUAACUCAUUUUCUACCAUUUUGCCUUUAUCAAGAGAAUGAUACGUGGUGGUUUUUUAGAAAGAAACACAGAGGGGUUUGCUUGUUUGUUUGUUUUACAUCUUGGUGAGUCAAGAAGAGGCCUGCUUGCUGAUUUGGAUAAAAAGAAUGACCUGAGGGAGUUGGGUGUGGGGAGGGGUGCUUGUUUUUUAUAAGUAUACAUUGCAAGCUUCAUUUGGGUCUUUUCCUCACCCUAAGUAUUGUAGUUGGUUCACUGGGUAUUACAUGAGCAAAUGUUUUCCAGGCUGGCCCUGGGAAAGCCAGAGACUCAGAGUUGGGUAAUUUUGUAACCUGUGAGGAAGGACUUCAGGCUCCCAACUGUAGGGGUCAUUAUUCCUGACUCACAUUUAUCUCUCUUGGGCUUUUCCUCAUAAAUGGUCCUGCUUUUAAUGCUGCUGCUCCUGCAGCUACUACUACCACUAUUAUCAUUACGAUGGUAACCUGCCUUUCUCAAGUUUAAAAUGUUGUCUCUGAGCAUUCCCAAGUUUUAUUUACACUUCUGUUGCAGUUCAGCUGAGAAUGGAAUAGUCUUUGAAAGCUAUAUGUUAUCUUCCUCUCCUGGAUCUGGGUUGUAGUCAACUGGCUUCAUAGCCUCUGACUGACUUUUAGAGGGGUUAGCAAACCAAAGUGAUGUUGGAGGCAACUACCAACAGGUAUGAAAUCAGUGCCUCAUACUCAUCUAUGUGAGUGUGACCUCUGAACCAAAUCCAGUAUCCAAUAUUUUGACCCCCUGGAUUCUCCCAACUUUUGUACUCCUCACCAGAUCAGUGUGUAAAUAUCUGGCAAGAAAAGUCCUGGAUUUUUGUCAAAUCUAUAGGUUCCAAAGUCCCUCCUAGACUCGGACAUCACAGAACAACUUUAUACCUGAGCAGAAAUUGUCCUCUAUGUGUGUAUGGCUGUGGGUGUGUGUUUCAGGUUGGGGUGAAUGUUGUCAAAGGUAGCAAUUAAAAAUGGGUUUUAGGACUGUCAUUUUCCUUGAAUGCGUGUUCAUUAAGCAUCCAGUGCUCUUUGUUGAAUGUUUCAUGUAAGAUGGUUUUGAGAAAAUAGUUUGUGUGAAGUCAUACAGGACAGCAAUUUGUCCCAAGGGAGCAAAUUGAAUAGAGUUAUAAAAAGCCUUUGAAUGCAUCUCAGUGUGAGGGGUGUUGGCUGAUUGUAGCUGAAUCUCCAUCAGCCACUCUGAACCUCCUUACCCUCUGGGUCAGGCUUUUUAGACAGACUGGGGAUCAGGGUAUGUCUAGCAGUCCCAAAUUUGUGUCCAGCAGUCUCAAAUGAGACUUUGAGAAGUCUAACUCUAGGCCUUGGGAAUGUGACAACACUGAGAGGCUCUAUAUCAGAUUUCUUCACACAGCCAGGCGAAUGGACGUUAUCCCAAGAUUCAGUACCUGUGUGCCACACCUUUUCCUCUCUCUUAGGUAGUAGGUAAUCCCUGAGUUAAAUAAAGAAGCAACAAUAGACACACAGCAUAUAUAUCCUGAGCAGACUACACCCCUUGGCAUCCAAUCCCAGUUAGCUUUCUGAGGUGUGGACUGUGAGAAUUUGGGCUGCUGGGGAAAAAGCAGCACAAGGCUUGGCUUUUCUGGGAAAGGGGCUAAGCAGGGGACACAAAUGUCCAGUACUUGAAAUACACCUAUGGGACACAUUCUGGAGGCCCGAAGAGAGAGAUGUUUCAUUUUCUCAAGGAAAAGAGAAGUGAGAUAAAGAAAGUGAAAACAAAGGAAGGAGGAAAGAGACAAAGAGGAUUUGAGAAGUGGAUACCAGUUAGGAACUACACAGUGAUGAUUCACAUUGUAUUGAAGAGUCUUGGAAAUAUGGUUCAAUUUCUUUACAAAUUAUGCUCCCAAACUGCUUCCUUAACUCAUAUUGCCAAUGGAAUGCUUUGAGUAAAAACUAUUCUUCAUGAUUUAAAUUCAAAUGAAUUCCAGGCAUUCUAUGAUUUAAUCCGGCGGUAUUAAUUUAGUAUCAAUGGGGGAUGUCUCUCUAAACAUUAUAUGAAAAGUUGUUAGUUUUCAGGAGACUUUCAAAAACACUCAAAAGCUACCAAUAUAAGUCUUUCCUCACUGCUAAUACUUGAAAAUGUAGUCUCCUAAAAAGAAAUUCAAAGAUCAACAUGUCACAAAUGAUAGCAACGUCAUGACUACUACAAACACCUGUGGACUUACAUUAUGAAGUGGAGGAAGGAAUAGGCAAGGCUUGUAACAUAGUUGUUCUCUUGAACUUGCUGAGUGAAAAGCUGCUUCCCAGGCUGAGUUGAUAGUAUCUGUAAUGCAUUAUAGUAACCAUGACAUCAUUCAUAAUCUCCUUUUAAGGAAGUUUAAAGGAAAACUCGAAAUUUUAAAAGAAAUAAUAUCCAGAAUUGCUAAAUAAAACACUCAUAAAUUCUUAAGAACAAACAUAUUGAAUAUAAUGACCUGGAUGUUGAGAUUUGCUAGGCCUAGAAUUUAACAUAGGCCUGAACAACUUUAUACCUGAGCAGAAAUUGUCCUCUAUGUGUGUAUGGCUGUGGGUGUGUGUUUCAGGUUGGGGUGAAUGUUGUCAAAGGUAGCAAUUAAAAAUGAGUUUUAGAACUGUCAUUUUCCUUGAAUGCUUGUCCAUUAAGCAUCCAGUGCUCUUUGUUGAAUGCUUUCAUGUAAGAUGAUUUUGAGAAAAUAGUUUGUGUGAAGUCAUACAGGACAGCAAUUUGUCCCAAGGGAGCAAACUGAAUAGAGUUAUAAAGAAUAUAUUUCCUGAGUAUAAUAUUACUAAUACCUUGUGUGUGUGAUCAGCUGUUCCACAGCAUUAUCUACAUUCUAGAAUCAGUUUACCGAAGCCCUAAGAUGUAUAUUCCAGGUAAGUGGGGUUCCCCUGAACCUGUGAAAAUAUCCUCUAGAAACCCAAUGCCAAUGCACUGAAUACAGAGAGUUUCUUUUCUUGCCUGGGGGACUGAAUUAGCUACUCAUCCUCAAGGCCCUACACAGCUUAGUUUGAGUCCUAAGUUUGGCCAGCAAGAUAAGGCACAGAAGUGCCUGCUAGACAAAGACAAUCCCUGAUGUCUACAUUGUGCGGUGCCCGUGUCUCAGUAAAAGGUGCAGAGACAAAAGUAAGAGUCCAGAGAAGGCCAAAUGACAGACUUCAGUGUGGGCAAACCAGGUUUCCCUGGGAGAGAUUCCAGGAGGGCAACGCCCCCACAAUAUCAUGAAACACAGAUCCGGAUCACACCGUUUGAGUUGAUUCACCAAAGAGUGCAGAGUCCUGACACGGGAGGCGACCGGGGCAGAACAAAACAAGCCAUCAUCUGCCCGGUGGCGCCCUUAUAGACGCACAGUGCACAAACCGUGAACUUGGGGCAGUGUGAGGCCAAGCGGCGCGCUUGGUACGCUCCAGAUGCGCCCUGGGCGAAGCAGGGACAAAGUGCAGUUCCCAAGGGCCCGCCACAUUUUCCACGUUAUUUAGCCUCCCAUCGGGAAUUAGUGCCAUCAUUUGCUUCCCUUUAGGUGAACACUUUAUCUGUGGAAAGGCGUCCAAAGGGCGGGGCCUGCGGGAACCUAGCCCUCUUUCCACCUCCCUCUCUAUCUGCCUCUGUUCACCUCGACCAGCUCGUCGCCUGAUCUUGUCUCGAGGGGCAAGAGCCUGGUUCCCAUUUCUUCUUACUAGCUGGGCUGCCAGGGACCUUGCUCAGCCUCGGUUUUCCUCUGGUUGAACUAAAGCUGGCAAGAGCUGCCUCCCGGAUCGCAGUGAGGACUCUAAGGGAACGAGGGCGAGCGCGCUUUGGAAAGCCAGUUGCUGAGCAGAUGGUAAGGGAUCACUUCCAAGAGCCAGGGCUAGUUUCAUUUCAGUCUCGGACACGAGGUGGUCUCAAUGCCUUCAUUAAUGAACAUUCUCCUUAGAAGUCUGGAAAACUGACCCAAGAAGAAGGACCAACAAUUGAGUGUCGGGCAAGCCCACAACUCCAUAGGGGAACCAGGACUGCAUGGGUUCAAAUCCUAGCCCCCUAGAGGUAAUUUAACCUGUCUGUACUACAGUCCUUCAUCUGUGAACUGAGGGGAGU